rnacentral:lncRNA from 1 species
AUUGCAAUGAAAAUAAAUGUUUUUUAUUAGGCAGAAUCCAGAUGCUCAAGGCCCUUCAUAAUAUCCCCCAGUUUAAAAGCGAGCUUAGUGAUACUUGUGGGCCAGGGCAUUAGCCACACCAGCCACCACUUUCUGAUAGGCAGCCUGCACUGGGCCUCACCACCAACUUCAUCCACGUUCACCUUGCCCCACAGGGCAGUAACGGCAGACUUCUCCUCAGGAGUCAGAUGCACCAUGGUGUCUGUUUGAGGUUGCUAGUGAACACUGUUAUGUCAGAAGAAAGUGUAAGCAACAGUCGACUCUGCCCUGCCUUUUAUGCUGG